rnacentral:rRNA from 1 species
AUUGAACGCUGGCGGCAUGCUUUACACAUGCAAGUCGAACGGCAGCGCGGGCUUCGGCCUGGCGGCGAGUGGCGAACGGGUGAGUAAUACAUCGGAACGUGCCCAGUAGUGGGGGAUAGCUCGGCGAAAGCCGGAUUAAUACCGCAUACGACCUGAGGGUGAAAGCGGGGGAUCUUCGGACCUCGCGCUAUUGGAGCGGCCGAUGGCAGAUUAGCUAGUUGGUGGGGUAAAGGCCUACCAAGGCGACGAUCUGUAGCUGGUCUGAGAGGACGACCAGCCACACUGGGACUGAGACACGGCCCAGACUCCUACGGGAGGCAGCAGUGGGGAAUUUUGGCCAAUGGGCGAAAGCCUGAUCCAGCAAUGCCGCGUGUGUGAUGAAGGCCUUCGGGUUGUAAAGCACUUUUGGCGGGAACGAAAAGGACUGUGCCAAUACCACGGUUCGAUGACGGUACCCGCAGAAUAAGCACCGGCUAACUACGUG